AUUAUUUAAUUCUGGAACAAUGAAGAAAGACAAAACGUAAAAAAAGGAUUGAAUUCUUGUGACCACCAUAGAUUGUUUAAUGGUUGCAUUGAAGAGGCUUUUAACUGCUGGUGCAAAGCGGACGCAAUUUUCUCUGGCAACAUUUCAUCUGUCAUUUCAAAAGAAUAGCCAAAAUACUUGUAUGGUAAAUAAUGUAAAUAA